UUGUCAGUGAGGUUAAUCCUUACCUGUUCCUCCUCUGGGAGAAACAGCACAUGAUGAAUGGAGGAGACUGAGUUGCUGAUUACUCUGUACUCCGGCCCUGCCUGGUGCGGCAACACUUCCCAGCCAGAGCCAUUCUGAU
ensembl:snoRNA U8 U8 small nucleolar RNA